UUGAACGCUGGCGGCAGGCCUAACACAUGCAAGUCGAGCGCGAAAAGUUUUCGGACUGAGUAAAGCGGCGGACGGGUGAGUAACGCGUGGGAAUCUGCCCAGUAGUGGGGGACAACAGCCGGAAACGGCUGCUAAUACCGCAUACGCCCUACGGGGGAAAGGGGGGGAUCUUCGGACCUCUCGCUAUUGGAUGAGCCCGCGUCGGAUUAGCUAGUUGGUGGGGUAAAGGCCUACCAAGGCUACGAGCCGUAACUGGUCUGAGAGGAUGAUCAGUCACACUGGAACGGAGACACGGGCCAGACUCCUACGGGAGUCAGCAGUGGGGAAUAUUGGACAAUGGGGGCAACCCUGAUCCAGCCAUGCCGCGUGUGUGAAGAAGGCCUUAGGGUUGUAAAGCACUUUCAGUGGGGAGAAAGGUUUGUCACCUAAUACGUGAUGAAAUUGAUGUUACCCACAGAAGAAGCACCGGCUAACUCCGUGCCAGCCGCCGCCGUAA
rnacentral:rRNA from 1 species